rnacentral:rRNA from 1 species
UACAGAGGGUGCGAGCGUUAAUCGGAAUUACUGGGCGUAAAGCGUGCGUAGACGGUUAUUUAAGUCGGGUGUGAAAGCCCCGGGCUCAACCUGGGAAUGGCGAUGAAGACUGCAAGGCUUGAAUCUGGCAGAGGGGGGUAGAAUUCCACGUGUAGCAGUGAAAUGCGUAGAGAUGUGGAGGAACACCGAUGGCGAAGGCAGCCCCCUGGGCUGAGAUUGACGCUCAGGCACGAAAGCGUGGGGAGCAAACAGG